rnacentral:rRNA from 1 species
CCACGCCCCAAUCCCUUUUUUCGCCCAAGCGAAAUUGACGGCGGCCGCCGCACCGCUCGCCACCGCCGCUGAUGCCAACCUCCCGCAAGUCGUUGCUAUCUCCGCCUAUAGCGCGCUGCUCUCGACCAAUCCGGCCAGGCCUGCGCGCCACCUCCCGGUUCAUCCCUUCCCCGCAGGGGAACUGUUGGGGAUAUUACUACUGGAUGUAAACCGGCCUUGUGUAGCCGGGUUAACUCCUUGAAGAUUAGAAGCCCAUGAAGAUGCAAGGAUGAUGGCGCUUUAUGAAGGCCCAAGGCCCAAAGGCGGGUUAAAACCUGUAAAAGUAAUCCGACCUAGUCAUGUAAAUUGUAUUGUAAGAUAGGAAGGAUAGAGACCGAACCGGACAUGUUUAUGAUCCGGCUUCAGGACUCUGUAGCCCGGCGGGCGUCAACCUAUGUAUAUAAAGGGAUGACCCGGCAGCGGUUUAGGGACGAACAGCAACUCGAGAGCCAGACAAAGCGGAACAAGACGUAGGCUUUUACCUGGCCUUCGAAACCG